rnacentral:lncRNA from 12 species
GCUUCAUUUUGCAUAUUUUCAUCUAGAACCCACCAUGAGUCUUUUGGCUUUUUAGUUGUAACUCAGCUGUUCUGUUGAGACUGGAUGUGAUAAGUAGAGGCAUCAGAAUACUGGUGAUUGGCCUGUGCUGCAUUGGCAGCAAACACAGAUAUCUAUAUUUAAAAUGGUGCACAUUGUUCCAAAUGUCACGGAGCAAGUUUGGAUGCCACUGAAUGGGUUCAUCAGCUGCAAAAUGAAAUACAUGUUUCAUAUGUGAAGAUUUGUGUUUGGCCUGGUGCAGGUAAGAGCCCUUCCCUGCUGCUCUCUCUCCCCGACACCUGCACCGAAUGGCCCACACCUUUGGUUGAGUGCAGCACUCCUUAGAUUGGAACACAACUUCCUGUAGCAAAGUCCUGACUGCCUUGCUUGAUGGAGGAUGUCUCACCUCCCACAAUGAGCUGCUGAAGCAAGGUCACACCGUGUGCACCCCCGAGAACCGCGAGGCCUGACCACUGCUUACUAUUCCUGCUGCCUGUCGUGCAGACAAUUUUACUGACCUCCCUUUUGGUAUUUGUAGACCGCGCCCUCCUUUGUCGAAAGAACAGAGUACUCCUGCACAUCAUGAAACAAGAACUGGACCUUCUCCCACAACCUCAGAGCACUGAGAUAGUAUUUGUAGCUGGCAUCACUGAGUCUGCACAUGAUCAAGAAAUGUUGUAGGCCAUUGCACUCCCUUUGCUGGUUAACUACCUUCAACCUCUUUAAAAACUCCUGGACCAGGCAGAAACUUCAGAGGAGUUGACUCUUGGACAAGAGUCUGCUUUUUCCCCAGGUUGCUGGCCUCCUGAAUAAAGCUCAGAUUCCUUUCCA